AAAUUGAAGAGUUUGAUCAUGGCUCAGAUUGAACGCUGGCGGCAGGCCUAACACAUGCAAGUCGAACGGUAACAGGAAGCAGCUUGCUGUUUUGCUGACGAGUGGCGGACGGGUGAGUAAUGUCUGGGAAACUGCCUGAUGGAGGGGGAUAACUACUGGAAACGGUAGCUAAUACCGCAUAACGUCGCAAGACCAAAGAGGGGGACCUUCGGGCCUCUUGCCAUCGGAUGUGCCCAGAUGGGAUUAGCUAGUAGGUGGGGUAA
rnacentral:rRNA from 1 species